rnacentral:rRNA from 1 species
UCAAUCUCGUGCGGCUAUAUAUACCGCCGGUCCCUCUAAGAAGAUACAUAUGUGAACGCCGAUAGUGAAAAACGCGUCGCUCGCAGAACGAGCGACACACUCCUCUAGAUAUCGGUAAUUCGUCUAUUUAAUAGGCUAGAGUUACGUUCGUUAC